AAUCAACGCUGGCGGCGUGCCUAACACAUGCAAGUCGAGCGCGAAAGGGGAGCAAUCCCCAAGUAGAGCGGCGAACGGGUGAGUAACGCGUGGGUAAUCUGCCUCCGAGUGGGGAACAACAUCGGGAAACUGGUGCUAAUACCGCAUAACAUCGUCGGGUUUUCGGAUCUGACGAUCAAAGCCGGGGACCGCAAGGCCUGGCGCUUGGAGAGGAGCCCGCGUCCGAUUAGCUAGUGGUGGGUAAUGGCCUACCAAGGCUUCGAUCGGUAGCCGGCCUGAGAGGGCGGACGGCCACACUGGGACUGAGACACGGCCCAGACUCCUACGGGAGGCAGCAGUGGGGAAUUUUUCGCAAUGGGCGAAAGCCUGACGAAGCAACGCCGCGUGGAGGAUGAAGGCCUCGGUCGUAACUACCU
rnacentral:rRNA from 1 species